GGUUGUGGUUCAGUGGUACAGUGCUUGCCUAGCAUGCAUGAGGCACUGGGUUCAAUACCUGGCACCA
rnacentral:tRNA from 1 species